ACGGAGGAAAAGAAACCAACAGGGAUUGCCCUAGUAACGGCGAGUGAACAGGCAAGAGCUCAGAUUUGAAAGGCACUUUUGUGCCGUUGUAUUCUGAAGUUAGGGUCCUGAGAAACGAUGCUUAAGUCUUCUGGAAAGGAGCGCCAUGGAGGGUGAUAGCCCCGUCUAGCAUUGACCUCAUAUAGGAUCUUAACAUGGAGUCGAGUUGUUUGGGAAUGCAGCUCAAAUGGGUGGUAUGCUCCAUCUAAAGCUAAAUAUCUGCGAGAGACCGAUAGUAAACAAGUACUGUGAGGGAAAGAUGAAAAGAACUUUGAAAAGAGAGUGAAAAAGUACGUGAAAUUGUUGAAAUGGAAGGGUAGGCCGCUAACCAUGUAGAGCCGUGUUUGGGGGGAAGAUAAAUGCUGUAGAAUGUAGCUCCUCGGAGUAUUAUAGAUGCAGUUCAUAUUCCCACCCGAGCGCGAGGAUCUCAGGUUCUACUAAAUGGUGGUCUACCACCCGUCUUGAACCACGGACCAAG
rnacentral:rRNA from 1 species